UUAAGUAUAGGUAAUAAAUACUUAGUAUUUUCAUUUUGUGUGUUUAAUAAUCAUUUUCUCUCAAUUUUAGGUUAAUAAGGCAAACUUUGGAAAAUGCUGUUUUUCACCUUCUCGCUAAGCCAAUCUGCUGGCUUAGCGAGCGUCCGCUAAGCGCAACACUCCUGGGCUAAGCGCAAGGAAGACUCUGGAAGAAGAUGAGCUGUAUAGGUUCGCUAAGCGCACCGCUUCAUCUCACUAAGCGUACCACUUCAGUUCGUCCGCUAAGCGAGAAAGGCACGCACUAAGCCAAAAUUCACUAAUGUGCGCUAAGCGGUCCAUAAGUGCGCUAAGCGCAUGAGCACGAACAAGGCCACCUAUUUAAGCCUGAAAUCAGAUUUUGUGAAGAGAGUUUGGACUGGGAUUUAGAGCUUUGCAUGUCUAGGGUUUCUAGAGAGAGAAAGGUCCAAGUUCCAGAGAGUUUUUAGAGAUUUUGCUGUGUAAAGAUCUGCAGAGACCAGAGCUUGAAGCAGGAGCCGGUUUGAG
rnacentral:lncRNA from 1 species